AUUGAACGCUGGCGGCAUGCCUUACACAUGCAAGUCGAACGGCAGCACGGGUGCUUGCACCUGGUGGCGAGUGGCGAACGGGUGAGUAAUACAUCGGAACAUGUCCUGUAGCGGGGGAUAGCCCGGCGAAAGCCGGAUUAAUACCGCAUACGAUCUACGGAGGAAAGCGGGGGACCUUCGGGCCUCGCGCUAUAGGGUUGGCCGAUGGCUGAUUAGCUAGUUGGUGGGGUAAAGGCCUACCAAGGCGACGAUCAGUAGCUGGUCUGAGAGGACGACCAGCCACACUGGGACUGAGACACGGCCCAGACUCCUACGGGAGGCAGCAGUGGGGAAUUUUGGACAAUGGGCGAAAGCCUGAUCCAGCAAUGCCGCGUGUGUGAAGAAGGCCUUCGGGUUGUAAAGCACUUUUGUCCGGAAAGAAAUCCUUGGCCCUAAUACGGUCGGGGGAUGACGGUACCGGAAGAAUAAGCACCGGCUAACUACGUG
rnacentral:rRNA from 1 species